rnacentral:rRNA from 1 species
CCUACGGGUGGCACCAGUGGGGAAUAUUGGACAAUGGGCGGAAGCCUGAUCCAGCAACGCCGCGUGAGGGAUGACGGCCUUCGGGUUGUAAACCUCUUUCAGCACAGACGAAGCGCAAGUGACGGUAUGUGCAGAAGAAGGACCGGCCAACUACGUGCCAGCAGCCGCGGUAAUACGUAGGGUCCGAGCGUUGUCCGGAAUUAUUGGGCGUAAAGGGCUCGUAGGCGGUUUGUCGCGUCGGGAGUGAAAACACCGGGCUUAACUCGGUGCUUGCUUUCGAUACGGGCAGACUAGAGGUAUUCAGGGGAGAACGGAAUUCCUGGUGUAGCGGUGAAAUGCGCAGAUAUCAGGAGGAACACCGGUGGCGAAGGCGGUUCUCUGGGAAUAUCCUGACGCUGAGGAGCGAAAGUGUGGGGAGCGAACAGGAUUAGAUACCCCCGUAGUC